CUACGGGCUGCUGCAGUAAGGAAUAUUGCGCAAUGGAGGCAACUCUGACGCAGCCAUGCCGCGUGCAGGAAGAAGGCCUUAUGGGUCGUAAACUGCUUUUAUUUAGGAAUAAACCCCCGAACGUGUUCGGGGCUGAAGGUACUAAACGAAUAAGCACCGGCUAACUCCGUGCCAGCAGCCGCGGUAAUACGGAGGGUGCAAGCGUUAUCCGGAUUUAUUGGGUUUAAAGGGUGCGCAGGCGGGCUAUUAAGUCAGUGGUGAAAUCCCGGGGCUCAACUCCGGAACUGCCACUGAUACUGAUAGUCUUGAGUUUGGUUGAAGUGGGCGGAAUGUAGCAUGUAGCGGCGAAAUGCAUAGAUAUGCUACAGAACACCAAUCGCGAAGGCAGCUCACUAAGACAAAACUGACGCUCAUGCACGAAAGCGUGGGGAUCAAACAGGAUUAGAUACCCGAGUAGUC
rnacentral:rRNA from 1 species